GACGAACGCUGGCGGCGUGCUUAACACAUGCAAGUCGAACGGAAAGGCCCUGCUUUUGUGGGGUGCUCGAGUGGCGAACGGGUGAGUAACACGUGAGUAACCUGCCCUUGACUUUGGGAUAACUUCAGGAAACUGGGGCUAAUACCGGAUAGGAGCUCCUGCUGCAUGGUGGGGGUUGGAAAGUUUCGGCGGUUGGGGAUGGACUCGCGGCUUAUCAGCUUGUUGGUGGGGUAGUGGCUUACCAAGGCUUUGACGGGUAGCCGGCCUGAGAGGGUGACCGGCCACAUUGGGACUGAGAUACGGCCCAGACUCCUACGGGAGGCAGCAGUGGGGAAUAUUGCACAAUGGGCGGAAGCCUGAUGCAGCAACGCCGCGUGCGGGAUGACGGCCUUCGGGUUGUAAACCGCUUUCGCCUGUGACGAAGCGUGAGUGACGGUAAUGGGUAAAGAAGCACCGGCUAACUACGUGCCAGCAGCCGCGGUGAUACGUAGGGUGCGAGCGUUGUCCGGAUUUAUUGGGCGUAAAGGGCUCGUAGGUGGUUGAUCGCGUCGGAAGUGUAAUCUUGGGGCUUAACCCUGAGCGUGCUUUCGAUACGGGUUGACUUGAGGAAGGUAGGGGAGAAUGGAAUUCCUGGUGGAGCGGUGGAAUGCGCAGAUAUCAGGAGGAACACCAGUGGCGAAGGCGGUUCUCUGGGCCUUUCCUGACGCUGAGGAGCGAAAGCGUGGGGAGCGAACAGGCUUAGAUACCCUGGUAGUCCACGCUGUAAACGGUGGGUACUAGGUGUGGGGUCCAUUCCACGGGUUCCGUGCCGUAGCUAACGCUUUAAGUACCCCGCCUGGGGAGUACGGCCGCAAGGCUGAAACUCAAAGGAAUUGACGGGGCCCCGCACAGGCGGCGGAGCAUGCGGAUUAAUUCGAUGCAACGCGUAGAACCUUACCUGGGUUUGACAUGGAUCGGGAGUGCUCAGAGAUGGGUGUGCCUCUUUUGGGGUCGGUUCACAGGUGGUGCAUGGCUGUCGUCAGCUCGUGUCGUGAGAUGUUGGGUUAAGUCCCGCAACGAGCGCAACCCUUGUUCACUGUUGCCAGCACGUUAUGGUGGGGACUCAGUGGAGACCGCCGGGGUCAACUCGGAGGAAGGUGGGGGUGACGUCAAGUCAUCAUGCCCCUUAUGUCCAGGGCUUCACGCAUGCUACAAUGGCUGGUACAGAGAGUGGCGAGCCUGUGAGGGUGAGCGAAUCUCGGAAAGCCGGUCUCAGUUCGGAUUGGGGUCUGCAACUCGACCUCAUGAAGUCGGAGUCGCUAGUAAUCGCAGAUCAGCAACGCUGCGGUGAAUACGUUCCCGGGGCU
rnacentral:rRNA from 1 species